AAAUCAUCAUAAUUAACAACCUUUCAACCAAAUGGAUCCCAAAGCACUUUCCAAAUUAUGCAACUUUGGAGGUGAAUUGCCUCAGCUGUCCAACAGCUGUCAGCAGCACUCUGCAACAGGGACUGAGCAAGAGGGAGGACGCAGAUUCUCCACGGAACUCUUCGCAGCAUUUAGUGCAGGCCCAGAUGAUUCAUGGUAAACUUUCCAGGAUAUUCUCUUAAUUCUGUGUUGUCCAACUAAGGAGUACAGGGGAUCUGCAAAGUUGUAAAAUCAAGGUGGUAAAGAUUCUUGGAGCUUCUAAUAUAUUCAAAAGUUUGAGCUAUGUGUCAGUCCCUGGGGAUCAAGUGAAGGAGGUACAGCUUCUUCAGUCACAGACUGUCUUGUCAUGUGGAUACAGGAAAGACCUAACAAGAAAAAGGCAUAGCCAAAAUGCAAAACCACCUACCUACACAGAGAACAACAGCAUAGUCUGAUCUGUUUCCACCAGCCAGCAAAAGUGAACCUGAAGUGAAUGACCCAUGAUUCAGGGCUGUGGUGUCUCCAUCUCUGCCUGCUGGACCACCCCUACCCCCACCCUCCAGAGCCUUGUAUGCACUGGCCAAAGAAUUGCCUCAGAAGGUUCUCCGAAGUGAACCUCUGGGAGUUGAGAGAAAGAGAUAAAUAACUUCUCAACCUGAUGUUUAAGCAACAAGAAACCACCAGAAAGUGUCGGCCUCAAUUCUGAAAAUAUUUUUUGAAACAUCAUAGAUUCAUGGGAGAAUGACAGAAUGACAUGAGAAUGACAGGAUUCUUAGUUCCUAACUUUUCUGUAAAAUCCCAGAUUUUCUUCUGUCUAUCGUCUAUGACCCAUUUUCUUUUGUGUGAUGAGAGCAAAAUAUUGAACCCUGAGUUUGUAUUUUCUGACCCCUGACCUCUCCCAGGUGUUCUGGCUCAUUUCCUGAGAGUUAUGUUUGAUUUGGGAAUGCUUCCCUCUUUUCUCCCAUUCCCCUGUUACCGCUUGAAACCUGGAACACCCGCAAACAAGACCCUGACUAUCUCCCUGUACUACCCAAAAACACUCUUAAGUGUUCUCUCAGAACUUGGCAAGCAUCUAUACAGGGACAGUUUUCUCACACUCUGGGAAAUCAAAAUAUAAAACAAUAGCUCUUUUCCAAUUCUUCAACCUGAAGAUAGAUUUUAGGGUCAUUUCUUUUUCCUUCCUAUUUAACAUGAGUUUCCGUUUUAGUACUAAGAGGAAAUCAAAUAAAUAAUCGACUUUGGUUUUCAAUGUAACAAGGAAAUAGAAAUUCUAAUUUGAUCCAAAAGUUAUUCCAAGAUCAUCUCCUCAGAAGUUGCAGUUAACAUUUUCCUAAAAAAUCUCUCCCUUUCCUUUUCUUUUUCAGAUUUCAGAAUAAAAGGCUGGAAAAUAUUACUUAUGAAGUUAAGCAUUAUUUUUGCUUUAAAUUGAAGCUGAAACCCUGCUUGACACCGCUACUCUGCUAAUCCUGGUUGUCUUUUAAAAAGAAAAUGCUUAGGAUACCUAAACAAUCUUGAUAAAAAGAUUUCUACAUCUUUUAAUUAAAUGAGAGGCCAAUCUACUAAGCUAACAAAAAGAACUACAUUCAGGAAUGCAACAGAUUCUGCCUACUCCAUUUGGCAUGAUUCCUUAAAAAUAAAUAACUACUUCAUGAGUUGUGCAAGUAAAAAUAAGAUAUUGUGUGCACUAAAAACAUUUCCUCAAGGAGCAUCCAGGCUGGGCUCAUGAAGCCCACUUGUCACCAGCAUCAAGCCGCCCAUCCAGGCACCAUCCAGGAGGGUGAGUCUUCUCUUCCUAGUCUAGGGCGGAGGGUCAUUCAUGCACUGGACUGGAGUUAAGAGGCUUGAACCUGAGCUGACAAUGAACAGGACUGGGAGAGGCUCAACUAUCCUGGGUUCAGAUGACAGUUUGUAGGUAUCAGAAUAAGUACAGGGGCAGCUGGUGCACAGACCCUGGAAAAUUCACUGACACACGGUGAAUAUAUAAAUAUCAUGUCUCAUUCUCUGUGGUGUAAAACCACACAAAUGCAACUUAGGCUUUAUAAAAUGCCCAGAUUACUAAGUAGCCAAAGAAAUAUAAGAAAAAAAUCUGUGAAUUGAUUCUGUGUGAAACCUGGCUCAUGAUAGUAAAACAGGCUUAGUGUGUUUGUGUUUUAUUUUUCCAAAUACAUAAUUUGAAAAUACACAUGGCUGUGCCCAUUUUUAAAUGACAUUUAUUCAAUCAUUCAUUCACC
rnacentral:lncRNA from 1 species